UUGGCGGCCUUCCUUCUCGUCAGAGGAACUCGUAUUUUCAUCCGAUAAUCCGCGCUAAAUCUCACUUAGACCCCAAAGUCUUUAUAUCGCCGUCUAAAGAUUCAAAUUCAACAUUUAAUCCCAAAGGAUUAUCCUCACCCACGUCAGGUCGAGAUAAAGCCUAUAUCUAAGCAAUCCGAGUUACACAUAUCCAUCAUAUAAAAACUUUCUGGCCAAAACCAAAAACAUUCAGGAUUUGAAAGUAAUUUUCUGAUAUUACCUCAAAAUGAACUUGCCUACAAGGCGUACAUAUCGCCCGUCACCCUCGUCCAAAGAUGAGGUAAGUCGUAACAAAGUUAAUGUACUGGAAAGUGCAUUAAGGG
rnacentral:rRNA from 1 species